rnacentral:rRNA from 1 species
AUGAAAUUCUCUUCCAAAAUUCUGCAACACCCAAAUGUCCCUUGGACCCAGUGGUACAAUCACCAGCAUCCUCUUGGCAUAGCUACAAAAACUACACGUCCUUCCUUUCUAUGGAAGGUUAUCAACAGCAACUUGCCACUACUUAUUGAACACUCCUUUGUCAUCACAUACAAUGGCCUAUCCACUUUCUUCUGGCUAGAUAAAUGGCUUCUACAGUCACCACUACAAAAAGUUUUCCCAAACCUCUUCUCGCACUCCAUUGAUGACAAGGUUUUAGUGGCUACUGUUUGGCAAACCAGCUUAUUGGCGAACCUGCGGAACCGUCUGUCGGAUUGUGUGUUGUUGUUGUUGCAGGACUUCCAACAGGUGGACCAACCGGACGAACGGUCUCUCACCCAUGGCCUGUCAUUCUCGGCCAAGAAUGCAUACUCCUCUAUCGUUGUUGAAGACUACACCGACCCGCACCAUGAUCUUGUUUGGGCUUCAAAAGUCCCGAUCAAGGUCAAGAUCUUCGCAUGGCUUCUUCUCCGCGAUCGGCUGAACACGAAGGGCAACUUGUUUCGCAAGCACAUUGCCCAGUCAGCUGCUUGCCCUCGCUGUCAAGACCCUUAUGAAGACGCGCUCCACCUCAUCUCCACCUGUUCUUAUGCUUCACAAGUCUGGUCCUCCUUGGGUCUGCAGGCUCCAACCUCUCUUGAUGAUCUGCUCCAACACCCAACGCUUCAUGGCCUCAACCCCAACAUAUGGCCGUCGGUAGCUCUGUCUAUCUCUUGGAAAAUUUGGGACUCAAGAAAUGCUCUAGUAUUCAGGAACGACGACCACUCCCUCAGGACCACGCUACGCAACAUUGUUGCUGACUUCUCUUUAUGGGUUUUUCGGUUUAAAAAGAAGGAAGAAAAUUUAUUCGCUAAGCAAUGGCUUCACUUCUUAUCCUCAGCUAUUCCCUAA